rnacentral:rRNA from 1 species
AAGGAAUAUUGGUCAAUGGACGCAAGUCUGAACCAGCCAUGCCGCGUGAAGGAUGAAGGUCCUCUGGAUUGUAAACUUCUUUUAUCUGAGACGAAAACGGGAUUUUUAUCUCAAUUGACGGUACCAGAGGAAUAAGCACCGGCUAACUCCGUGCCAGCAGCCGCGGUAAUACGGAGGGGGAGAGCGUUAUCCGGAUUUACUGGGUUUAAAGGGUGCGUAGGUGGGCUUAUAAGUCAGUGGUGAAAUCUCCGAGCUUAACUUGGAAACUGCCGUUGAUACUAUAGGUCUUGAAUUAUCUGGAGGUAAGCGGAAUAUGUCAUGUAGCGGUGAAAUGCUUAGAUAUGACAUAGAAAACCAAUUGCGAAGGCAGCUUACUACAUAUAAAUUGACGCUGAGGCACGAAAGCGUGGGG